rnacentral:lncRNA from 1 species
ACACAUCCAAGUCCUGCAAGAUGUUUUUUAACUGAUUGGUUGUAUUGAUAACUUCUGACACUCUAUGAAUUAUCCAUCAAUCAUGUAAUCAUUUUUGUCCUGUAAGUAUGUGUGUUGGCAUCAUGGUUCAAGUAUGACUUCACUGCUCACAUCAAAACUCUUCUUUUAGCUUCAAGGAACUAAACAAAGUAAAAAUUGUGUCUCAGGUUUACCCUUUCACACGACUGAAGCAUUAUGCCUCUCAGAAUCAUAUGUCUCAUCCCUAUGCGUGACCACCCAGACAAGACUUGCAAAUGAAAAAAACUUGAUUCCAAGUCUUAGAUGCUUAUUUCUCACCUGGCCUAUUAAAGCCUUGUGUUCUCAUGGAUAGGCUUUCAUAGGCAUUUGAGACCUUCUCACCACAUGCACCAUGAAGCCAGCAUUCAAACCCUCUAUCUCUGAUCACCAAUGAGUGCUUUAACCUGACUAAACUGUUCACUUGAGUAUUGUGAGUGUCUGUGGCACAAUCCUUGGGGGCCACGCAUGAUGCAUGAUAGGGAAAAGAUGAAGGCAGAACAUACAGGAUGCUCACCUAGUUUGGAAAUAUGGUCUACCAAAAUAAUGCCAGCUAGGCAUCUCCCCUCUAUCUUACCUAGAACAAUAUUUAACUCAUUGAGCUAGGCCAAACUCUAGUUGCAGGAGAAUGCAUCUUGACUGCAUAAAUGGCCUCUAAAAAUUCCAAAUGGUUUCUUACUUGUCAGAGCUCUGUUGUGCAUUACCUGGAGCAUUCUUUCCAGCAAUGAUAAUGGCCAGUAAGAAGCUUUCUAAAAAGAUUUGUCUCACAUGCUUGACCAUCGAUAUUAGAUUCUUGAACCACAUACUUCUUUGGAUCUUUCCCAAAUUUUAGCACCAUAUAAAAGUCGUGCCUGGAGUUUAGAUGAGUUAUAAGUUUGGUUUGGGAUUUGAGUUUUCACUUCUGGUGUAUGCAAAACUGAGAACACAUCUUCAUACUUAUUCUCUCCAUCAAUCAUGCAAGC